rnacentral:rRNA from 1 species
CCUACGGGGGGCUGCAGUGAGGAAUAUUGGUCAAUGGGCGCGAGCCUGAACCAGCCAAGUCGCGUGAAGGAUGACUGCCCUACGGGUUGUAAACUUCUUUUAUCAAGGAAUAAAGUGAGGCACGUGUGCCUUUUUGAGAGUACUUUAUGAAAAAGGAUCGGCUAACUCCGUGCCAGCAGCCGCGGUAAUACGGAGGAUCCGAGCGUUAUCCGGAUUUAUUGGGUUUAAAGGGAGCGUAGAUGGGUUGUUAAGUCAGUUGUUAAAGUUUGCGGCUCAACCGCAAUAUUGCAAUUGAUACUGGCAGUCUUGAGUACAGUUGAGGUAGGCGGAAUUCGUGGUGUAGCGGUGAAAUGCUUAGAUAUCACGAAGAACUCCGAUUGCGAAGGCAGCUUACUAAACUGCCACUGACAUUGAUGCACGAAAGUGUGGGUAUCAAACAGGAUUAGAUACCCGAGUAGUC